rnacentral:lncRNA from 1 species
GACUUGGCUUGAUCUUCCAAAAUGCUCAUGGUGCAUUGAUGCUGGCAUUACAGGUUGGUCUUUGAAUUAACUUGUCUGUUUUUACCAUCCUCUGGCCAAAUGUUCAAAUUCAGUUUGGUUAUAACUGACCUUAAAAACACCUUGAUGCAAUCUUGGAACAGGUUUGGUUGGUUUCUACUGCUAUGACCAGUUGCCUUGCUAGCAGGAUUUAGGAACUCCCUCAGGUGGCAGCAGGUUUUGUAUUAUAUUUGGUUCAUGGCAUUACGACAAGUGUGUUACAGGUAUGUUGUUGCAGGGUCACAUUCCAUUAAUUGAUUGUGACCUUGUCAAUUCCUUAUAUGUGGUGCCUGACUGCAAGAUAUUCACAUGCAGGUUGAGUCUCAAUGGUUAUGGAUAAAGUUUAGCUUGAGUUGGAAACAGGUCUUGGGGAUUUAGGUUCAUGGUAAGUUAACACACUUCAUGACCUGAUAUUUGUGAUGUCUCUGCUAUUAGUUACAGGCCUGAACUCAUCUUGCAAUGGUGUCCUGAGUUUGUUGCUGUCUUGUCCAGUAGGUUUUGCCUUGUGCAUCAUGGCUUCAACUUGCUUCACCAUUUGGCUAGUUUUAGUUGUGAGUCUUCUUUUCUGCAGGAUUUAUACAUUUAUAACAUGCUGCCAACUGGUUUCUUUUUGCAGGUUUGGUUAUUGUUUGAAUAAUUGUUUGUCUUGCAGGUCACAGGUUGUAACUUUGGUGAAAUUCGUUGGAUGGUUGGAAGUUCCGUGUGGUGAUGUUGGUUUGUUGCAAGUUGUGUGCCUUGAUGCACUGCUUUCUGCAGAAUUUAUUUGGUUUAUGGCAUGGGGUUUCACAGGUAAAGGCAAUCAUAGCCAGAGUGGUACAUGCAGACACAACAAUAACAAAGGGAGCCAUAGAGAAACUGCUUCCCAACUUCAAAGAUAUUUCUUUGGAAAAUUGUUUCCUCUCAACAAAACAGCAAACCAGC